rnacentral:rRNA from 1 species
GUGCGGUGACGGCGCACCAAGGCUGUGACGGGUAGCUGGUCUGAGAGGAUGGCCAGCCACAUUGGGACUGCGACACGGCCCAGACUCCUACGGGAGGCAGCAGUGGGGAAUCUUGCGCAAUGGACGAAAGUCUGACGCAGCGACGCCGCGUGGAGGAUGACGCCCUUCGGGGUGUAAACUCCUGUUGCCUGGGAAGAACGAGUGGCUUUGGCCACUGUGACGGUACCAGGUGAGGAAGCACCGGCUAACUCUGUGCCAGCAGCCGCGGUAAUACAGAGGGUGCGAGCGUUGUCCGGAAUCACUGGGCGUAAAGGGCGCGUAGGCGGCUCGUUAAGCGUGUGGUGAAAGCCCGGGGCUCAACCCCGGGUCUGCCGUGCGAACUGGCGAGCUCGAGCACUGUAGAGGCAGGUGGAAUUCCGGGUGUAGCGGUGGAAUGCGUAGAGAUCCGGAAGAACACCAGUGGCGAAGGCGGCCUGCUGGGCAGUAGCUGACGCUGAGGCGCGAAAGCGUGGGGAGCAAACAGGAUUAGAUACCCUGGUAGUCCACGCCGUAAACGAUGGGGACUAGGUGCUUGGGGGAGCGACCCCCUGAGUGCCGGCGCUAACGCAUUAAGUC